rnacentral:lncRNA from 1 species
UGCAUGUGUUCUCUUAUAAAUAAAAAUUAACCAAAUAGACAUACAAUCCAAAGCUUUAAGAUUAAAUUUGUAAUCUUAUCCCUUUUUUUCCUUCCUCAAAUUGUAACACCAUGCACUAAAAUGAAGGUCAAAAUCAAGUUACAGAGCACGUUCAAAGGCACAUAGAGAGGAAAGCCUUGAGUUCAGAUUUAAUACACAGAAACUUAAUUACAAUUGGUAUGAUUCAGUACAAAAUUCAAGGCGAAAUUGUUCUGGGAAUGAUAAUGUCGCCAAUGUUGUUGUGCCAUGGGUCAGCCAAGUGAGUUGCCAAGUUCUCCAACGGCCCUGUUCCUGGGUAUGCUGAUUGUUGCACACAGAACCCAACAAAAGCCAAUAGCGCCAAUCGACCUACAAACCCGUAAGUGUUUGAUAAUUAGUAUCAAAUGUUUUUCAUUAUAAGAUAACCAUUUGAGUCAAAAGUAAUCAAAAGUUCAAUUCUUCUCUAAUUGCUAUGAAAAAAAUGAGAGCAGUUACCGUUUUUGAUCUCUUUGACUUUGUAUUCCUUCAACUUUUCAGGGUCUUUUGAGUAGCCUAAUGGAUCAAAAGCACCUCCAGGGUACUUCUUCUUCUCGGGGUCUUUCUCCAUGCUGCGCUGGUGCUCUACAAAAGCAAUGGCAAGGAACUCAAUGACCAAAAUGGUGGGCAAAGUUCCCCAUGGAACUGGUUGUCCCAAGUAUGUAGCUUGGCCUCCUGGAACUGCUGCCCAUUCUUGAGCUUUAACCCAGUUGCCCAAUCCCAAAGCCUCAGGUACCAAAAUCCCUGGCUGAAAAACAAAAGGAACAGCAUUGGAAAAUGAAAAAGGAAAAGCCCCCAUCAAUCUCGGAAUCAAGCAACUGAAUUUGGUAAGCUUACAACAGCAAGCAUGGCCCAUCUGCAGUGAAUUAGCUCAGACUCCUUGAAUCUCUCGAGGUUCUCUGGCACUUCUCCCAGCCCAAGAGGGUCGAAUCCAAAAUCACUGUUGAACAUGACCACAGAUCUCAAACGUUUAAUCGAUUCUAAUUCAUUACUUAUCCAAAAACUACAGCUAAUAAAUAAGGGUAAAUUAAUCAUCACUAAGCAUGACAAAAACUGAGGCCAGUUUGAUAUGAUUUUCUCUUUCAUUCUUAGUUUAUGGAAUUUAUGUUUGCUUUCUCUCAAGGUUUUCCCUUUUGACGAAAGGCUUGAGUUCUUAGUUAUGUUCAAAAGAACAUAAAAAAACUACUUCUUUUAGUUAUGAAAACUUAGCUUGAUUUUUAAAAAUAUUGGUAAAAGAAAAUAUAGGCUGAGUAAUGUUUAUAAACUUAAAUCUUGCCAAAUAAUUAUAAAAAAAAAAAAUUAUGUAAGUUUAGAUUCACACAUAUAACGAUUUCAUGGAGUCAAGGACAAAUCAAAGCAUCCACAAAGAGUAUCAGGACUCUCUUGGACAUUUCCUCAAAGGCCUAGAAAAAGCAAUCAUCAUCCUACGUUAACAAACCCCACCAGAUUAAACAAACAAAAGUCAUUUCAAAAUUGAAUACCCA